rnacentral:tRNA from 1 species
GCCUUCGUGGUGUAGUGGUUCUGCACACUGGACCGGUAUUCCAGAGGUCCGUGGUUCGAUUCCAGGCGAAGGCG